rnacentral:rRNA from 1 species
AUGUGUGCGCUUGUCGCAGGACUAGAACUCUCUGCUGAUAGAGACUCGGUGUAUUGGGGGCUUAACAAAAAUGCUAGAUACUCUACUAAAUCUAUGUACAAGUGGCUGAAAAAUCCUAUUAGUGGGUGCAACUACAAGUGGAUCUGGGAAGCAAAACUUCCUCUUAAAAUCCAAGUGUUCUUGUGGCAGAUGACCCAAGAUGCGGUUCUUACUAGAGAUGUGAUGAAAAGGAAAAAAUGGUCGGGGAACCCUGUGUUUUCCUUUUGCGAUAGGCUGGAAACAGCUACCCAUCUGUUUUUUCUUGCCCUGUGGCGCGAGUUACCUGAAGAUCAAUUGGGGUGGUCUUGGGACCGAGCUCUGUCCCAAUAA